AUUGAACGCUGGCGGUAUGCUUAACACAUGCAAGUCGAACGAUGAGAAAGAGCUUGCUCUUUCGAUUAGUGGCGGACGGGUGCGUAACGCGUAGGAAUCUACCUAUUAGUGGGGGACAACUUAGGGAAACUUAAGCUAAUACCGCAUACGCCCUACGGGGGAAAGAAGGGGAUCGCAAGACCUUUUGCUAAUAGAUGAGCCUGCGUAGGAUUAGCUAGUUGGUGGGGUAAAAGCUAACCAAGGCGACGAUCCUUAACUGGUUUGAGAGAAUGAGCAGUCACACUGGAACUGAGACACGGUCCAGACUCCUACGGGAGGCAGCAGUGGGGAAUAUUGGACAAUGGGUGAAAGCCUGAUCCAGCAAUACCGCGUGUGUGAAGAAGGCCUUAGGGUUGUAAAGCACUUUCAAUUGGAAGGAAAACCUCGAAGCUAAUACCUUCGAGUUUGACAUUACCUUUAGAAGAAGCACCGGCUAACUCCGUGCCAGCCGCCGCCGUAAUAC
rnacentral:rRNA from 1 species